rnacentral:rRNA from 1 species
GACGAACGCUGGCGGCGUGCUUAACACAUGCAAGUCGAACGGAAAGGCCCUGCUUUUGUGGGGUGCUCGAGUGGCGAACGGGUGAGUAACACGUGAGUAACCUGCCCUUGACUUUGGGAUAACUUCAGGAAACUGGGGCUAAUACCGUAUAGGAGCUCCUGCUGCAUGGUGGGGGUUGGAAAGUUUCGGCGGUUGGGGAUGGACUGGCGGCUUAUCAGCUUGUUGGUGGGGUAGUGGCUUACCAGGGCUUUGACGGGUAGCCGGCCUGAGAGGGUGACCGGCCACAUUGGGACUGAGAUACGGCCCAGACUCCUACGGGAGGCAGCAGUGGGGAAGAUUGCACAAUGGGCGGAAGCCUGAUGCAGCAACGCCGCGUGCGGGAUGACGGCCUUCGGGUUGUAAACCGCUUUCGCCUGUGACGAAGCGUGAGUGACGGUAAUGGGUAAAGAAGCACCGGCUAACUACGUG